AUUGAACGCUGGCGGCAUGCCUAACACAUGCAAGUCGAACGGUAACAGGCCCUUCGGGGCGCUGACGAGUGGCGGACGGGUGAGUAAUACUUAGGAAUCUACCCUGUAGUGGGGGACGAACCCGAGGAAACUCGGGCGUAAUACCGCAUACGCUCUACGGAGGAAAGCGGGGGACCGGCAAGGCCUCGCGCUAUUGGAUGAGCCUAAGCCCGAUUAGCUAGUUGGUGGGGUAAUGGCCUACCAAGGCAAUGAUCGGUAGCUGGUCUGAGAGGACGACCAGCCACACUGGGACUGAGACACGGCCCAGACUCCUACGGGAGGGCAGCAGUGGGGAAUAUUGGACAAUGGGCGAAAGACCUGAUCCAGCGAUGCCGCGUGUGUGAAGAAGGCCUGCGGGGUU
rnacentral:rRNA from 1 species